GACGAACGCUGGCGGCGUGCUUAACACAUGCAAGUCGAGCGGUAAGGCCCUUUCGGGGGUACACGAGCGGCGAACGGGUGAGUAACACGUGGGUGACCUGCCCUCAGCUCUGGGAUAAGCCCGGGAAACUGGGUCUAAUACCGGAUAUGACUCCAUGACGCAUGUUGUGGGGUGGAAAGCCUUGUGCGGCUGAGGAUGGGCCCGCGGCCUAUCAGCUUGUUGGUGGGGUGAUGGCCACCAAGGCGACGACGGGUAGCCGGCCUGAGAGGGCGACCGGCCACACUGGGACUGAGAUACGGCCCAGACUCCUACGGGAGGCAGCAGUGGGGAAUCUUGCGCAAUGGGCGAAAGCCUGACGCAGCGACGCCGCGUGAGGGAUGACGGCCUC
rnacentral:rRNA from 1 species